GACAUUGUCUUAGCUUCGGCUGCUAAAAUUGGAACGAUACAGAGAAGAUUAGCAUGGCCCCAACGCAAGGAUGACACGCGUAAUCGUGAAGCGUUCCACAUUUUU